rnacentral:lncRNA from 1 species
CUAUACGAAAAAAUUUGCAUUGCUUUUGUCAGAUCGUGUGGUUCUCUGACAACUGAUGAAAUUACAUUUGCUACAAGAAAAUCUUCUGUUAAUACAUUGGAUGAUUUAGCAAACAUAUUCCAACGUGAAUAUUGGAAUGCUGCUAUCUACAAGAUAAAGGAUUGAUUGAUUGUUGGUUGCUUAACGUCCAGUGGCAAAUAUUUCAUGCAUAUUCAGGACGAGAACAAGUUCACAAUAAAUACAAUAGGUAGGUUGUUGUAAUAGAGGCCAUCUAGGAUAAUGGUCGGGGAAAUUUGGACUGCCACUGGAAAAUGAGGGUAUAUUGGAUAGGGACAGAAAUUUUGCCUUGCAACAGGCCACCUACGGACCCCUCAAAGAGUUGUUGCAAGGGUUCUUAACGUGCAAAGAGCGUGGCACUCUCUUUACACGAGGCAUCGGAUUUAACGUCCCCUUCUGACGGACGUGACUGCGAACUUG